UGCACUUGCUCCUUGCCCUAGACUGUCUUUCAGUAGGUGGAGUCUGCUAGGGAGUGCCUUGCCUGGAAGGGCAAAGGGCUCCGUCUUCUGUUAGCCACAACCAGCUGACAAGUCUCAGUCACCAGGCCACCUCUCUAGGGACAGUGAAAGAGCCAGAACCCGAAGCCGCUGGAGCACUGGGGGACACCCGAGCGGAACCGUCCCUGGAACAAGUCCUGCAGGAGCGGGAUGAAGCCAUCGCUAAGAAACGCGCGGUGGAAGCUGAGCUGGACUCCUGCAGAGCCAGGUUGCGCACAGUGGAGGCUCAGCUGCUGGAAGUCCUGCAGGAGAAACUGAGGCUGAAGCAGGAAGUGGAGGCCUGGGAGGAAGACAUGCAGCAGGUGGUUCGAGAGCGGGUGCAGAGUCAGCUGCAGGGGGAGUCCAGGGGCGCUCUGGGCGCACAAGAGAACCCACGUGCUGGCAGGAGCUCCUGGAUCCACCUCUCCCGGAGCCAAUGGGGCCGACGGUGGUGAAAACGGACCCGGAACUUUAAGAGAACUGCCUUUAUUCAUUAAAGGGUUGGACCACGCUGUA